AGUUUGAUCCUGGCUCAGGAUGAACGCUGGCGGUAUGCUUAACACAUGCAAGUCGAACGGGGUACUUUCGGGUACCUAGUGGCGGACGGGUGAGUAACGCGUGAGAAUCUGGCUAUAGGUUCGGGACAACAUUGGGAAACUGAUGCUAAUACCGGAUGUGCCGAGAGGUGAAAGCUUAAUGUGCCUAUAGAUGAGCUCGCGUCCGAUUAGCUAGUAGGUGAGGUAAAAGCUCACCUAGGCCAUGAUCGGUAGCUGGUCUGAGAGGAUGGCCAGCCACACUGGGACUGAGACACGGCCCAGACUCCUACGGGAGGCAGCAGUGGGGAAUUUUCCGCAAUGGGCGAAAGCCUGACGGAGCAAUACCGCGUGAGGGAGGAAGGCUUUUGGGUCGUAAACCUCUUUUCUCUGGGAAGAAGUUCUGACGGUACCAGAGGAAUCAGCAUCGGCUAACUCCGUGCCAGCAGCCGCGGUAAUACGGAGGAUGCAAGCGUUAUCCGGAAUUAUUGGGCGUAAAGCGUCCGCAGGUGGUUAUUCAAGUCUGCUGUUAAAGCGUGGAGCUUAACUCCAUAUCGGCAGUGGAAACUGGAUGACUAGAGUUCGGUAGGGGUAGCGGGAAUUCCCAGUGUAGCGGUGAAAUGCGUAGAUAUUGGGAAGAACACCAGCGGCGAAAGCGCGCUACUGGGCCGAGACUGACACUGAGGGACGAAAGCUAGGGGAGCGAAAGGGAUUAGAUACCCCUGUAGUCCUAGCUGUAAACGAUGGGCACUAGGUGUUGCGCGUAUCGACCCGUGCAGUGCCGUAGCUAACGCGUUAAGUGCCCCGCCUGGGGAGUACGCACGCAAGUGUGAAACUCAAGGAAUUGA
rnacentral:rRNA from 1 species